AUGGCAUUUAACAAUAUAAAUCUCCAUUUUCAGUGCUCGCAUAAAUCUAAUGAUUUUUUUCUCUUGAGCAAAGAGUCUUUAAUGCCUUCCUGGUGUGUUUUGCAGAGCACUGGAUCAACAUCACACAUGGAAUAUAUUUGUAAAGAGACAGGCAGGAUUAUGUCAUACCCAGAAGGGAUAAUAAUCAGGAAAUGUAAAAUCCAGCCGAAAGGAAAUGGGUUGCAGAGAAUACACAACUUAUUUAUUGUCAAAUUCAUUCAAGUUAAAUGACUCAGUGGAGCCUGCAGUCAUCAAGAGGAAGGGGAAGUUGAGUAAUAGAAAUAUCCACAGUGUGUUAUUUAACCAACAAAAGCCAUAAUGGAAGACAAGUGAGAGUUUUGAUUGAGGUGCGGGGCUCUCUCUGGAGUGGGCACUUGUACCUCUGUUUCAUAGGCGAAAGCCACUGGGCGUCCAGUCACUUCAUUUCUGUUUGAUCUUUUAGGGGGUGGAAUGACUCCUGAUCUCUGUGCUGUAAAAAUAUCUGUGAUGGUGUUCUGCUAAGAGCAAAUAUAAAAUAUAUCCAAAUAACUGUACUAAUCUUCAUGUUUUCACAUCUUACAUAUUUUUUUGGAUGUUUCAUUCUGGUCAUUUUGUUGGGCUGAAUAUAGAUUUUUUUAAAUUUAUUUACUUAAUGAGUCAGCACAUUGAAGUUAAUAUUAUAGUUUAGUAGCUGCUGCUGCUAAGUCACUUGAGUUGUGUCCGACUCUGUGCGACCCCAUAGACGCCAGCCCACCAGGCUCCCCCGUCCCUGGGAUUCUCCAGGCAAGAACACUGGAGUGGGUUGCCAUUUCCUUCUCCGAUGCAUGAAAGUGAAAAGUGAAAGUGAAGGUGCUCAGUCGUGUCCGACUCUUAGCGACCCCAUGGACUGCAGCCUACCAGGCUCCUCCGUCCAUGGGAUUUUCCAGGCAAGAGUACUACAGUGGGGUGCCAUUGCCUUCUCCAAGUUUAGUAGCUUCCUUAACUAAAGUUCCAAACAAGAAUUUCUUCAUCUGAGAAUUUAUUUCAGAAACUUUUAGCCCUGUAGAAAUAGCCAAAGCAUCUAGAUAACACCAAUAUCUUUGAAACAUCAGAACAAAUUUACAGUUCCAAAAAUAGCUUCAACAUGUUACCAUCUCACUAUUCAAUACGGCAUGCUUUUCUUUUCUAGUCAAGCCUUUGAAGGUAGGGUAGAUAAUUCACCUUGAAUUUUUCUUCAAACUUUUAAAUGAUCCAUAAAUAUCCUUCCAUGAAAGACCUAAAACUACUUUUUUGGAAAGCCUUUAAAUUUUUCAAAUGGUUGAUACAAUUUGUGCAAACUGAAAAUGUCAGCAGGGAAAAAAAGUAUCACUAGAAAGAAUUACAAACUCUUCAAAAACAAGGAGCAACCUAAGAUACAGUCUCUUCAUCUAAAAAUUGAACCCUAAGUGACAAAUUUUGUUGCCACAGAGAAUUCAUUAAAAAUUUUUUCUUCAGUCUUAUACUGACAAACCCAACAGGAAUGUAGCAAAAGAUGACAUUUCUUUUUCCAUUUAGUACAAUUUUUACUUGAAAUAAAAUUCUGAUAAAUCUAUUUUUAUUCCGAGUUUUAUUUUCUUUCCUGCUUCAACCAAAGUAACAUAAAAAUAAACUGCCAAAAUAUUUUUUAGGACAGUUUUUAUUGCCUUUUUGCAACUGGGCUCCAUUUGUAAUAGGAUAUUUUGUAGGACAAUGGUAUGUAGCCCUUUCCUUCAAGGGAGUAUUUGUUCAGGGUGUGUGUAGGAAAAAGCGGAAAAGUGGUGCUGAGUUUCUAUUUUCAGUGAGUUUGGGAUGUAACAUUGACCUGUCUAUUCUUCUCCAUCAUUCACUUGCAGACUGCCACUGUCUGACAGACCCAGUUCACAUAAAUAAGUAAGAAGGCAUAACCAGUAGUGUCAGGGAAGGUAAGAAUACUUUUAAUCAAUGCAGAACAGGAGUGCCCUUGAGCAUAUCUGAGAGAUCACAUACUACCACUGUAUUUUGAAUCUCUUUUAUAUUUCAGAUAUAUUGAAGGUGAACUGGGUGCUCAACACCAAAUAACUGUGGUAUUUUUAGUUAUGAAAGAACAAAAAGUUUGACUUUCCAUGUAUUAAAAUAUUACAAAAGAUAAUGUAUCCCCCCUAGAACAGCUUUGCUAUAUCAGAUACAAAAUAACCUGUUUUAUUUCUUUUUGACUUUUUUUCUGAUAGCAAAGUAAUAUAAAAUCAAUGUAAGCAUUAAAAAAUACAGAAAUUAGCAUAGCAAAUUUACCUUCUCAAAG
rnacentral:lncRNA from 1 species